GUAGUAGUUACCUAUUAACAAAAUAAAGCCAAAAAACAAAUAACCACACAUUUUUUGUUGACGCAGAAAGAAUAUUUACCAUAAAGUUAUCGAGUAUUUGCACCACCUCAACAUUCGUAUUAACUGUCAAUACCUUUCCCUACUCAAUAACUGAAAAUUGUUGUCUCCAAUACAUAGCUUUCAUAAUUAACAAUUAGUGCAACAUUUUACUUUGCAAUAAUUACAAAUGCAUACUUUGACUAAUGGAACUUGGUGACAUCUAGAAAGAAUGCUUACCUAUAUUUGAAAAUGAAUAAUACUCAGAUGCCCAUAACAAAUCUAAAUGUGAUAAUAAAUGCUCAUAAUAAAUCUCAAUCAGUGGAUUAACACCGAUAUGAUGUUAACCUACAUAAUCACAGAACUGCUCCAAACCAGUGCUGAGCCAUACUUUGGUGUCCUCUAUGCCUUGCAAAUUAUAAAAUGCCCACAAUCUUAUAUCCAGUUUUUAAUCUGGAAGGCAAAAAGGGACAACGAUGGGGUACAGCGGACGCCAUCAGUGUAGUCACCGUGUGUAUCUUAUCUCAUCUCUCAAUCUUCAUCUACAAAAUUGUAGAGAAGAUUCAAACACAUCCAAUCCCUUGCUUUUUUUAAACCUUACAGACGGGCCAGAGGAAGUGGACUUAUAUUAUCUGACAGUCCUAAAGACAGAUCACUUUGAAGUUCUGGUGUCAUCCUUCCCUUAAUCAACCCGUAUGGAGAGUUCCUUCUAGUUCUUUACAACAUAUAUAUUCCACCACCCAAUUCCUCAUGGGGCCUGUGCCAC
rnacentral:lncRNA from 1 species